GCGCCCCAAGUCAUACACUUUUAAUAAAACACUUUUUAAAGCACAGUGAAGAUUGAACAUCCUUGCUCCCUGGAGUUUGGUGAAUUAGAACUUGUUCUGGCAAUUAGUUAUGAAUGGAAUUAAUCAGAAAAAUUAAAAGCAAAUGUGAAACAUUCCUAUACUCUUUCCUUCUGGAAUGGAUGCAAAUCUCUUGGGUCAGUAAGAGCCCUUAGUGACAUGAAAGAGGAGAAAUAAAUCUUUAUUGUAUUGA